AAAAAAAUGUUGGAGUCUCUCCUGCUGAGGACACGUCAGAAAGUCCUUCUCUACAGAGACAACACGUGUCCUUUUUACCAAAGUGAUGCGUUUCAUUGCGUACUCUUCAUGAACCAGGUAAUGUUUCUAGGGUUUCGUCUCUUAUUCCGUCUUCAACACCAAAACAUUUCUUCUGUGUUCUGAAACGAAAACGAUGGACUGGCGAGGCGGAGAGAAAAAUAUAGAACGGCUGAGAGAUCAGAUCCGUUGUUGAAGCUCGAUUAUGAUGUGUUUUAUCUCCGGAGAUAGCUCGAUGGGUUCGGUCACAUGCUCUGUUCUGUAAUUUGUUUCUUCGCUGAGGUUGAAUCAAAGAACAGAGGUCGGAGAACAGAGGCUCUGUAGUGGAUUUGUUUACCAUCAUCUUCCUUUCAACAACUUUUCGAUUUGUUUAUCUUUGCCAAUGGGGUUGGGAAUCAUAAUAUGAUGACUGGUUUGAUAACUCUUCUACUUAUUCUCUUUUAUGCUUCAGUUGCGGGAUUCAGUGAGAAAAUAAUAAUUUUGGUUUUGAUUCAUCAAUCGAAGAUUCAUAUUUUGAUUUUUGUGUUUUUUGCUUUUUUUUCUUAGUAUUAGGAUUAUUGUGACUUAACAACAAUGUGAUAAUGGGAGCAUCUGUAGGAAGAGCAAUAGAGCAUUGUAAAUUUGUAACAAAGAACAUCACGUCGUGCUAUGUUUUUUUUCUGAAACUUUUUUUAAAAAUGUUGGUCAAAUGGUGCAUAAAUAAACCAAGUGAGCUUACUGCUACGUGGGGAGUCCAGUUUCACAUCAAUGGGUUAAAAUCCCUCCACCUCCCUCUGAUCCUAAAGGUGAUUCUACCAUAUUUGGUUUAAUGACUCGCUUGGAUGAGGACUGUGUCGUUUUGAGCUUUAAAGUGAUUAGGAUAGCUUCUUACCAAGCGACAAAGUGAUUAGGAUAGCUUCUUCGAGUUGAUUCACACGCCCGUGAUAGCUAUCUAAAGCAAGUAUGAUCCAUGCAGUUUAACAGGGAUAGAGUUCUGCUUUUACGGAGAUUAGAUCCAAGAUUGUCUAAAGACUUACCCUCUGAUCUCCAGAAGCUCCGAUGUGAGGCAGCGUUUGAAGCACUGAAGUUCUCGCUAAGGGUUAUGGAGAUAUGGAAGAAGCUUGCAGAAAGGUUAAGGAGCAAAUGUCCUUACAUUACCUCUCAUCUUUGACUUGAGAAAGACGUGUGGGAGAACAAGCUGCCUUACUGGUUUGAGCUCAAAGUAUGAUGAGAUUGCAAGACUAGAAGGGAUUAAGCGGCCUGAGCUCUUAACAGCCAAAUCUAGCAUGACACCUAAUGAGAGGAAACUUGCAGGUCUCUGUCCGUUAAAUGCCAAGGAAGUAACAAGCUUCGAUAAUGGCAGCAAUCGACUAUAUAGUAUGCAAUGAGAGUGAUGUGUUCAUGGCAUCUCAUGGAGGAAACAUGGGCUGCCCAAUUCAGGGUCACAGAGCUUAUGAAGGACAUAAGAAUCUUAUAACACCAAACAAAAGGCAAAUGCUCCCAUACUUUUUGAACAAAACAAUGACUGAGACAGAGUCUGAGAAGAUGAUGAAGAAAUUUCACAGACAAUCUCUAGGACAGCGAGAAAUAAGGGUUAGCAAAGCUGUAAGAGAUGUUACAAAGUAUCCUGUUCCUGAGUGUAUGUGCAUUAAUAAUCAAACCACUCGCACUAUUUAAACCCUUUUUUUGUUGUUGCACAUACGAUUAUUAUCUUAAAUAAAAGGGUAAUAACAUGCUCUACUACAAUUUCUAUGCUU